UACGGAGGGAGCAAGCGUUACUCGGAAUUAUUGGGCGUAAAGGGCGCGUAGGCGAUUUGAAAAGUCUUGUGUGAAAGCCCCGAGCUUAACUCGGGAAGUGCACAAGAAACUGUUGAAUUUGAGUUCCGGAGAGGAAGGCAGAAUUCCCGGUGUAGAGGUGAAAUUCGUAGAUAUCGGGAGGAACACCAGUGGCGAAGGCGGCGAUCUGGGUCGAUACUGACGCUGAGGUGCGAAAGCGUGGGGAGCAAACAGG
rnacentral:rRNA from 1 species